CUUUGCACAGCUGAUGGCAUGACAUUUUUCAGGAUCAGAUUGAUCCUAUAGAUCUAAAGUAUUUUCCAAUUUUGUCUGAUGUAUCAGA
ensembl:snoRNA